GUAGAGAAAAUGAUUCGGGAGAUCAGGAGGUCCCUGUCUGAAAGAUCUCCCUCUGCUCAGGACAAUGUUGGUGUUGCCCCUGAUUCUUCAGGAUCGGAGCCUGUGAACAGAGCUGCAGCAGAGGAAGCUUCAUCUGGCACCGAGAGCUGCAGGAACAGUUCCCAGGAGCCCGAGGAGCCUGAUGCCAUCUGACCAACAUCUCCAGGAGGG